UUGAAGGAUUAUAUCGAAGAAUCAAAUGAUGAGGUAACGCUUGGAAGGGUUCUCUCUUAGUCGAUUAGCACUUGAUUUAGUAAGAAUGACAGUGUUAAAAGCUCGGUGAAAAGGCGUAAGAAUUUACCGUAACAGUGCAGUUUAGCUGACGAAAACCUACCCGAUGGGGUGGUGUAAAUCAUAAUGCUUGAGUUGAAUGA
rnacentral:ncRNA from 1 species